rnacentral:rRNA from 1 species
GAAAGCUUGCUUCUUAGGCGUCGACCGGCGAAUGGGUGAGUAACGCGUAUCCAACCUGCCCCUGAGUAAGGGAUAGCCCAUCGAAAGAUUGGAUUAAUACCUUAUGGUUUCCUUGAAGGCAUCAGAUUAGGAAUAAAGAUUUAUCGCUGAGGGAUGGGGAUGCGUCUGAUUAGCUUGUUGGCGGGUAACGGCCCACCAGGGCAACGAUCAGUAGGGGUUCUGAGAGGAAGGUCCCCCACAUUGGUACUGAGACACGGACCAAACUCCUACGGGAGGCAGCAGUGAGGAAUAUUGGUCAAUGGGCGCAAGCCUGAACCAGCCAAGUAGCGUGCAGGAAUGACUGCCCUAUGGGUUGUAAACUGCUUUUAUACGGGGAUAAAGUCAGAGUCGUGACUCUGUUUGCAGGUACCGUAUGAAUAAGGACCGGCUAAUUCCGUGCCAGCAGCAGC